rnacentral:rRNA from 1 species
GCCCCCUGAGUGUCGCAGUGGGAAUCUUUCACAAUGGACGCAAGUCUGAUGGAGCAACGCCGCGUGAGUGAAGAAGGGUUUCGGCUCGUAAAGCUCUGUUGGUAGUGAAGAAAGAUAGAGGUAGUAACUGGCCUUUAUUUGACGGUAAUUACUUAGAAAGUCACGGCUAACUACGUGCCAGCAGCCGCGGUAAUACGUAGGUGGCAAGCGUUGUCCGGAUUUAUUGGGCGUAAAGCGAGUGCAGGCGGUUCAAUAAGUCUGAUGUGAAAGCCUUCGGCUCAACCGGAGAAUUGCAUCAGAAACUGUUGAACUUGAGUGCAGAAGAGGAGAGUGGAACUCCAUGUGUAGCGGUGGAAUGCGUAGAUAUAUGGAAGAACACCAGUGGCGAAGGCGGCUCUCUGGUCUGCAACUGACGCUGAGGCUCGAAAGCAUGGGUAGCGAACAGGAUUAGAUACCCUGGUAGUCCAUGCCGUAAACGAUGAGUGCUAAGUGUUGGGAGGUUUCCGCCUCUCAGUGCUGCAGCUAACGCAUUAAGCACUCCGCCUGGAGAGACGA